ACGGUAUAGAUCCGACUGGAAGGUACACUGGAAACUCAGAUCUGCAACUGGAGCGGGUGAAUGUGUACUACAAUGAGGCUUCGUGUGGGAGAUUUGUUCCUAGGGCUGUGCUCAUGGAUCUGGAGCCUGGGACUAUGGACAGUGUGAGGACUGGUCCUUAUGGCCAGAUCUUCAGGCCUGAUAAUUUCGUUUUUGGGCAAUCCGGUGCCGGAAAUAACUGGGCGAAGGGGCAUUACACUGAGGGUGCGGAGCUGAUCGAUUCGGUUCUCGAUGUUGUGCGGAAGGAGGCUGAGAAUUGUGACUGUCUUCAAGGUAUUACCGUUUUCUCAUAGAAGCUCAGUUGGUGGUGAAAGUAGUUGGAUGUUGUCUUUCCAUGUGAAUUUUUACUGAUUUUGAUUGCAAGAGUAGGACUUUAGAACUCAAUUUCAGGCUGCAUAAUGGGUGGAGUGUUUUAAUUCAAUGCUUUAUGUUUGUUUGGCUGAUGGGAUGGAUUUGAGGCUUUGGAAUUAAGUCUGGAAUUUGGAUGAAUUGAAGACAACUUAAUCCGAAGCCAAUCCGUUAAUUUGAGAAAUUCAAAUCCUACUCAAAUUUGCGUUGGGUCCUAGGCAACUCAACUUGAAUUCAGACGUUUAAUUGAAAGGCUCCCGUUCGCUGGGUUGGGAUUAGUUUGAUCCGAUGGAAUGAGGACAUAAGUUCCAAAUCUAUGGUUGGAUUACUUUAUGCUUCGCUUGGAUCUCAAAAAGUAUGAGGGGAGGGAAAUGGAAAUGAUAUCCAUAUUCGUUCUUUUUUUCUCAACCUGUUUUCAGACUUUUUAAGAUUCAAUUGGAGCUUUAAAGUCCAGUAGAUUUGCAAGUUAAUUUGAAUAUAUAGUGUUUCAACCCACAAAAGCAUUCCAUCAUUCCUUAUCAAGUGCAAGAUUUUGGAAUUUUAUAGAUCUGAAUUUCCAAUUUAAAUUCAACCAUUUGCAAUCAAUUUCACAGGAUCUUUUCUUAAAAUAAUGUUACCUUCUUUCUGUUUUCUAGAAAAUUUGGUGAAUUAUUUUGUUUGUAUCUAAUUCAUGCUGAGUGGGUUUUACAAGAUGUGAAUGUACAGUUCUUUGAUUCUUUGUCUUUUCUCUUAGUAACUGUAUUUGUAAUUUGUUCAUUUGUAGGUUUCCAAGUGUGCCACUCACUUGGUGGAGGCACUGGUUCUGGAAUGGGAACUUUGCUGAUUUCAAAGAUCAGGGAAGAAUACCCUGAUAGAAUGAUGCUUACUUUCUCUGUGUUCCCAUCACCCAAGGUUUCAGAUACAGUGGUGGAGCCAUAUAAUGCCACCCUCUCUGUUCAUCAGCUUGUUGAAAAUGCAGAUGAGUGUAUGGUUCUUGACAACGAGGCUUUGUAUGACAUCUGCUUCAGAACCCUCAAGCUAACCACUCCUAGCUGUAAGUUUAUCAUUCCUUUCUACUUCCGGCUAUGAUGGUCAAUUAAACUAGACAUUCAAAUCGUUUAGAUGAGUAGUUAUGCAGACCCAGGUGAUUUUGAGAUGAAAACUUGUGGAUAUCAUUUUUUAUUGUAUGUCUAUUUAUUGCUUGUCUUUAUGCAUUGUAAUAUUGGGAUUAUUUUGUGACUGAUCCUUCCAACCAAUAAAGUUGUUUUGUGACUUAUGACAUCGCUUUGAUUCUCAAGUAUGGUGUUCAAUAAAUGUUUUUUAUCAAGAGGAACAAAAAUUGUUAAUGAUAUAAUGAAAUUUAGAUAGCAAUAUUGAUUGACUUCUAAGAGUGGCAUGAGACCAUCACAUGCUCCUAUCAGUGCACAUUCGGUCAGAGAUUUGAUACUUGGAGGUAAUGUGGUUGAAGCACUCACCCUUCUUUGUGUCUAAGACUGAAUGACUGUCUAGGGUUUCAGACUCAAGUGGAUUAAUCCAUUACUCCAAUAGCAUGACUACUCUCACACUGCAAUAAGGUGAACAGAACUUGCAAUAAUCCACUAAGCUAUUGUACUCGUCAAUUACGUAACUGUACUCAUCAGUUGUAUUACUUUAGAGUAGAGCCAGCACAAAGAAUAUUCUAGACAGACAAUUGUUAAUUUUUUAAUUUUUAUUAUUUCUGUCAUCUUUUAGUGUAACAGGAAGAUGCUUCUUCUCAUGAUGCUUUUAAUGCAGAGAUAUGAUGUUAAUCAGUCUUUUCUUUUACAACUACUUCUCUGCCAUGUUCUAUAAAGAUAUAUGCUGACUAACUUUUAUGUUACAUUUAUUAUUAUUACAGUUGGUGAUCUGAACCAUUUGAUCUCUGCAACCAUGAGUGGGGUUACUUGCUGCCUCAGGUUCCCAGGUCAGCUCAAUUCUGACCUCCGGAAACUUGCAGUGAACCUCAUUCCCUUCCCCCGUCUACACUUCUUCAUGGUUGGGUUUGCUCCUCUCACCUCUCGUGGGUCUCAGCAGUAUCGUGCACUAACAGUCCCCGAGCUCACCCAGCAGAUGUGGGAUGCCAAGAACAUGAUGUGUGCUGCAGACCCACGUCAUGGCCGCUACCUCACUGCCUCAGCUAUGUUCAGGGGCAAGAUGAGCACCAAAGAAGUGGAUGAACAAAUGAUCAAUGUCCAGAACAAGAACUCUUCAUACUUUGUUGAAUGGAUACCCAACAAUGUUAAAUCAAGUGUUUGUGACAUUCCACCUAGGGGUCUUUCCAUGGCAUCAACCUUCAUUGGUAACUCUACCUCAAUUCAAGAGAUGUUCAGGCGGGUGAGCGAGCAGUUCACAGCUAUGUUCAGGAGGAAGGCUUUCUUGCAUUGGUACACUGGGGAAGGCAUGGACGAAAUGGAGUUCACCGAAGCUGAGAGCAACAUGAAUGACCUUGUGUCUGAAUAUCAGCAGUACCAGGAUGCAACAGCUGAUGAGGAAAUUGACUAUGAAGAUGAGGAGGAACCUGAACAAGAUAUGUAAGUCGAUCAUAAUAUAUUGCUGAGUGCUGCUCUGCCAUUCCGUUAUGGUAAAAUGUGCCUAAAUAUUUUUCUACUACUUGAGGUUGAGC
rnacentral:lncRNA from 1 species